ensembl:lncRNA
UGAUGUCCAGUGUUGAUACAUGGGAAUUAAAAACCAGUUCUUCUCCAAAAGUUUCCUCAGCUCCCCUUUCUGUGACACGGGUGUACUAGGAAGGUGACUAAAUUGUGAAGGAUGCUUGUCAAGGAGCUCCAUUGCAUAGCUGUGCAUUGUAGUGCCAGAAGCAAAUCCCUGUGUUAUUCAGGCUGCUGUCAUGCAGAGGGAGGUAGAGAGCUGGGAAUAACCUGAAGGGAGCACACAGUAGCAAGCAUGCCCCUGCUGCUGACCCGGGUUCUCCAAAAAUUUAGAAGCAUCUUCUGCAAACAGCUGACAAUGAGAACUUUUCCACUUUAUGAUGCAGAGGUUUUUCAGUCAGAGAACUGGGGCCUGCUAGAUCCAGCCAGGGCUUUGAAAAAGAGAGACAACUGGAUCUCUUAUUUAAAGGUAAUUAUGAUGAACUUCCCUCUUUAAGUUAUUGUUACUCCUAACCAGUCUUCAG